UACGUAGGGUGCAAGCGUUGUCCGGAAUUAUUGGGCGUAAAGAGCUGCGUAAGGCGGUUUGUCGCGUUCUGCUGUGAAACUCGGGACUUACGUCCGGCCGCGCAGUGGGUACGGGCAGACUAGAGUGCGGUAGGGGAGACUGGAAUUCCUGGUGUAGCGGUGAAAUGCGCAGAUAUCAGGAGGAACACCGGUGGCGAAGGCGGGUCUCUGGGCCGUAACUGACGCUGAGGAGCGAAAGCGUGGGGAGCGAACAGG
rnacentral:rRNA from 1 species